GAGGUACCAAGUUUAGAAGGCUAUGAUUGGUCCAAAGGGCAAGUCACAAACGGAUUUCUCGGUUAUCAAAAAAAGGAUUUUGCAGAGACUUUCGAGAUCUUCCAAAGUAUUGAUGACAAGGUUAUUGGAUUUCUGCUUCUGAACAUGUAUCUGCAUACCUACACUCUAUCAUAAACUGGAUCAGUCCUGGAACAAUCUAUAUAUUCCUCUAUCUCCAAGCGCAGUGCCUUGUUUGAACAACUUGUGAUCUUCCUGACUACGAAAUCUCUGGAAGGUCUUCGUGCAAGUCAACUUGCAUGUUGUAUUAUUUCAGAACAAUGGUAACAGUGGUGGCUGUUCAGAAAAGCAACCUUUGCAUCCACUGUAUCUCUGCUACUCCAGAUGAAUCCAUUCUUCAAAAGUUCUGGAAGCUUUGUUAUCGCCAACUAAAUAUUCCAGGUGGUUCCAUGUUUCUAUUUGAUCGGAAUUUGGAAAGUACUACGAGAUUUCCGUAAUGGUCACCAUUGGAGGAAGAAGAAGGAUGGUGAAAUUGUUAAUGAAACUCAUGAAAAGAUGAAGGAUUUUAAAUCUUCUGUCUUUCUGGUGAAAGAGGCAUUUUUUCAGAAUGGUAAGAAGGAAGCUCGUAGAAUCUUGUGUAAAAGAAUUGAACUUCUGUGUUACUGAGAGUCGUGGGGAAUUACAGGACUCGGUCCCUAACAAAUCAAAGGGGAUUGAAGAUGAGCUCAUUAUCAAACUUAAAUCUUCUAUGAUAGAAGUUGAUGUAUGUGCCCUUAACAAAUUAAAGGUUGUAUGAACUUCAAUUGUCAAGGAAAAUACCCAUUGAAAGCUUGCAUAAAGAUCUUGCAGAGAUUCUCAAAAACUUCAGAAGUAUUGAUGACGAGCUUUGUGUUGUUUUUUCAGAACAAUGGAACAAUGGUGGUUGUUUCAGAAAAGCAACCCUUGCAUCCACAGAGCUUUUUGGGUACACUCCAGAUGAAUCCAUUCUUCAAAAGUUCUGGAAACUUUGUUAAUGCCAACAACAUAUUCCAGAUAUUUUUGAAAGCCUUGGAGCAACUUUAAAUGUUGCUAAACCAACAAAAGGUUCAUUUGCUAAACCAACAAAAGGUUCAAGUGUGGCUAAAUUUUUGACCGGGGAUGUAGGCUGCAGAAGGAGCAAGAAUUGUAUUGGUGUUGAUUUAAAUGCUAGCAUAUUUGAGCAAGGUUCAGGUGCUCAACAUUCAGAUCACGUGGAGAUCGAUUCUCGAUCCAUAUUAAGCAAUACUGUGGUCAGGUCCUCAACAUUCAAAUCACUUGGAGAUCAGCUCCCCAUUUGUAUUCAACAAUAUCAGUGGGUCAAAACAAUGUAACUUAGGGUUCAAACGAAGUUGAAAAGGUCCAAAAGACCCCUGGGAAAGUUACUCUCUGACCAAAUGACGGUCAGGACUGACGGUCCGUCGGUUGGCCAACGCCCCGUCGUUGGAUCGGUCGACUGGGCCUUUUCGACAAGCCUUUACUAAAAUGGGCAUAACUUUUUACUCGGAGGUCCAAUUUUAUCAAGGAAAAAGAGUUAGGUAGGUCGGCAGCUGUAGAAGAGUAUGAACCCAGAAGAAGAAGAAAGAUGGAUUGACCCACCUGAUCAGGAGACAUAUGUUGACUAGCUAACCAAUACAUGUGACAAGUGAAACUAUGAAUACAGAUGAUAGCUUUACAAUGUCUACAAAGCCUCUACUGGGAUCCAUGACUGUGCGACUAUGAAAUAUGCAUAAUAAAGACUCGACAAAGCCUCGAAUCAACCUGGAGCUCACCAACAACUGCUGAGUAUCAUGUGCUUCUAUUGGGCAAAUCCACUAGUUGAGUACAUGUACCUGCAACAUGAAAUGCAGCGUUCCCAAUAAGGAACAUCAGUAAGAACAAAUGUACUGAAUAUAUAAGGCAUUUACCAAUAGAUAAGGAUUAGAGACCAUCUUUGCUUAUACAUGUGGAAUCAUGUAUGUUACAUUCUUUUCUUUACUUAAGUGCGUUAUUAUUUCUAUAUGACAUAUGAUACAAAUGAAAUAAGUAGUUGAUCAGUGGUAAGAGAGGAUGACCCAUGCUAGACAUUUUAACCCAUGGGAUGUAGUGCUCAUAUUAUAUGUUGCUCUGUUCUUUUUGUUCAUGGGUAUUCUAAGGAUAACUUAUUCUAAAUGUUUAAUAAUAUGUUCUGAUUAGUUUAUGAA